ensembl:lncRNA
GUCAGCUGGGAGACGCUCUGCACGUGCAAAGACACGCUCCAACCUCCUUUUGCUUCAUAGUUAUCAGUUUACCAUACCGAAAUACUUUACCAAAUAAAGUAACUGUUAAAAGCUAUCCUUUGGAUUUGAUCACUUUCCUUGAAGAAUGCUGCAAUAAUUUGGUGACCCUUCGACGUUCUUGGACAGUCCCGAGACCCGCGAGCAUGUGACCACCGAGACGCAAAACAAGCUCUUCGCAGGCCACUCAGAAAUUAGUUCUUUCCCGCGAUUCAAAUCCUGACCUACCACCGAUCCUGCCUGCUCUCUGACCCCUGCCUGUCUGACUAUUCUCCCGGUUCCUGAUCCCCGUCUGACUAUUCUCCCGGUUCCUGAUCCCUGCCUGUCUGACUCUUCUGCCGGUUCCUGAUCCCUGCCUGUCUGACUAUUCUGCCGGUUCCUGAUCCCCGCCUGUCUGACUAUUCUGCCUGCCGAUCCUGUAUCCGAAUAAACUAUUGACACUGUUCCACGCUCGUCGCCAGUCUGUGCACUUGGGUUCAGCCAAACACGCACGUUACAGAACAAUCUGGCUCUCCACCCGUGACCUACCUCUCAAGGUGGGGAGUCGCAAGCUGGCCCCCAAGUUCAUUGGACCAUUCCCCAUAAUCCGCAUCAUUAACCCUGUGGCGGUACGCCUUCAGCUUCCUCGUUCCAUGAGGAUCCAGCCUACCUUCCAUGUCUCCAAGGUCAAGCCUGUCCAGGAGAGCCCUCUGGCUCCUCCCGUUGCGCCCCCUCCUCCCCCUCAGCUCGUCGACGGGGGUCCGGUGUUCACCGUCCGGCGUCUCCUCCGCUCCCGCCGCCGUGGACGUGGGGUCCAGUAAUCUGGUGGACUGGGAGGGGUACGGUCCGGAGGAGCGCUCCUGGAUCCCAGCUCGCUUCAUCAUGGACCCCCGCCUUAUCUCUGACUUCCACCGAUCCCAGCCUGACCAACCUGCCCCGCCCUCCUGCCCGCCCGCUACAGUUCCAACGGCGAGUGGUUCCUCUGACCUGCCGGGAAGAAGGGACUCCGAUGUCGCGUCCUCCUCCUCUUCGGAGGACGCAAUCUCUGAGGCCUCGGAGGAAUUCUAACCCUCCUCCGGGCCCCCUCCCUGUUCGAUUUAGGACGUCUGAGCCGUCCCUUGCCGGGGGGGGUACUGUCAUGAUCCACCCCUGGUUUUCUCAUUCACCUGCCUGCCACCCUGAUCACUCCCAAUUAACCCAACCACCUUCACCUGUAUUUCCCCUAUAUCAGUCCUUUCCUCCCAAACAUUUUCUGCCAGAUUGUCUCUUGUGUUUCACAGUUCUUUCCCGCGAUUCAAAUCCUGACCUACCACCGAUCCUGCCACGCGUCAACCGACUAAUCGUUCCUGCAGUGUUCUGGAGUGGUGACGGUGGAGCUCAAUGGGAGGCUCCGGGAGAGUUGACAAUCACGGGCUCACACGGGGAGAAAUCAAGUAAGUCAGUAAGUCAGAAGGUUGAAUUAAUGUAUCGAUUUGAUGUUGACCAACAAAAAACUAGAUAAUAAUAAAUACUGUUCAUGUAAUGGUAUAGUUAGGUCUGGGACCUGCGUAGCUAAAAAAACUUUUUUGGAAAUGGUAAUGGACGUGUCCGGGACAUGUAGAGCUAUAAAUAAGUAAAGAUAAAACUGGGUUUUUCUUUACUUCACUUUGCUAAGACAUAUGCACGUUUGAUGUGGUAUGCGAUGUACAUAGGAGUGAAUCAAAGUGUGGACAACAUCAAAUGCGAGCAAUAGGUAGAAUAAAUGAAGAUUAGGUCAUCCAAUAUACAUAGUUAGUGUAGGACAAUCGGGUAGUAUGAUGAAGGUAACUGUUAUUAUGAGAUACGGUUAACACAGAAGUGAUAUUGAACAUGCAAAUUUAAACAUUGUUAUUUCCCUUUUACAUAUUUUUGGUUAUAGAUAAGAAAUGGAUUAGCGAUACAUCUGCUGGGAAGGAAACCUAUAUGCUAGGGUUCUCAAUUUAGAUUCAGAAGUAGUGGGCUCACCUUUCAAAUGCCACUGCUGCUGCUGUAACGCUUUGAUACAACGUCAGCGUUUCAUAGUAUAUUUUUUUUAAUUCUGAUAAGUUGCGACAUAUAGGUAUACUGACUCAUGUAUCGUUUAAGGUUUAGUGCAUUUGAGAACAGGGUGGUCUCAAGACGGCUGCAUAGACCCACCACUAUCGACCUUUGGUUUUGUAUGUACUGGUCUUAAUUUCUCUUCACAAUAGAUUGGUUUAUUUACAGAUGAUUAAGGAAGGAACUUCAACUUGGUUGCACUACACCGUUGUUAGGAUUGGUUAAUUUAAUGCGCAUGGCUGAAGCAAUGCGCAAGGAGGGAUGUAGUGUGAAUAUUAAAUCAAGGUUGAAGGUUGAAAUCAGCUCAGAAUAAGGAAUCAAAACAAAUGUAAAAUCUGUACAAGCACUAAAUAGAAUUGGUUAGAUGAAGGAAUACAUAUGAGGCAUUAUCAAUUAUAAUACAAACAUAUUUGAAACGCAUACAAUUUUCAGGUCCAAUGUUUCCAGAAGCAAGAUGAGUACCGUGUAUCACUCUGACACGGCUAACUUUGCACGUAAUGCUUACGGUUAGAUUCAUGCUUACACCUACAUUUCAAGGGUCCCAUAACGGACUUCCAUUAAAACAAUUAAAAUUAGAAUUAUACGAAAUAUGUUUUUGAACAACUAACUGCUGUACAUGAGUUUGUAUUUCUACAAUGGAAACAAAAGUUCCAGAACCAGAUGCAGACACACCCGGAGCCUACAAACUACCACCGCCGAGCAAGGACUAACAGUCACAUGAGGAGAUCAAAUAACAGCAGGAUUUGAAUCGGUUCUGUUUUGGUUGUCCACCAUUAGAAAAAUAUUGUUUGUAUAAAUAACAUAUAUCAUAAUCAGCAACAGUUCGUAAAGUUUUCCACGAAUAAGGUUAAAGGAAUAUAUAAGGUAUGGAUAUGUGAUUGACAAAGCAAGGAGGGGUGUAUGCAGAGGUGGGUAGGAACGCGCUACAUUUACUCCGUUACAAAUACUUGAGUAACUUUUUGGAUAAAUUGUAAUUUUAGGAGUAGUUUUAUUGCAACAUACUUUUACUUUUAGUUGAGUAAAUAUUUGAAGAAAGAACGGUACUUUUACGCCGUUCCAUUUGGCAACGUGACGGUCGUUACUUUGUUUUUUUAGAUCUUUUCUUUUAUUACAUGCGAGAUCUAUUUCUAUCACGUGAAUAUUCCUUAGCCCAAGUGAAGGAGUUCAAGUACCUCGGGGUCUUGUUCGCGAGUGAGGGUACUAUUGAGAAUGAGAUUGGCCGGAGAAUCGGAGCAGCGGGGGCGGUAUUGCGUUCGCUUUACCGCACCAUUGUUACGAAAAGAGAGCUGAGUCGCAAGGCAAAGCUCUCGAUCUACUGGUCGAUCUUUGUUCCUAUCCUCACCUAUGGUCAUGAGGGUUGGGUGAUGGCCGAAAGGACGAGAUCGCGGGUACAAGCGGCCGAGAGGCAAUUGAAUAACGCCUGCACACACACAGGCACGCACGCACGCACAACGCAGAGUGGUAAUCGGGAGAGUUGGGAAAAUUCCCUGUGGCCCGUUAACGUUUCGGGGGGCGCCGGGUCAACGUCGCAACCAAUUCGGUUUUGUCUAGAGGGGAGUAACUGAGCGCCCCCUCCCGAAGUGGCACAGCCAAGGUCGGCCUUGAACUGCGAUUGGUCAGAAAGACGAUACAGCUAAUGACAACAUUGAACUCUCAUGCAGGCUCGAACAGAGUGACACACGCACGCACGCACACACAGUUUUUCACCCACUCCGUAUCCAGCUUAUUCCAUGCUUAAAGCACCCAGGCUACUAUGCGGCGAGCUGGGGCUCUCAUGUUCUCCCCUGCGGUGUAUUGCUUGUCCGCAUCCCCUGCCAUCCAGUUGUCAUACGAUUCAUGCAGACUGGUUUUGAACGGCUGAUUCCAUGGAUGUACUUUGUUAAUAAUGUUAGUUAACAGUUAUACGUGUAUUGGUUUUAAUUAAUAUAAUUUUGAAUAAACCGAAUUUAUUUUAAUUUUAUUUAAAGGUUGAUGUAUUUAAUUUUGCAAAGAUUUAAUUUGUUAUUGUUUUAGUUCAAGGGUUAUGCAUUUUAUUUUUAAAGACCUUAUUUAUUUUAUUUAAAAGGAUGUUAUUUACAUUCUCUUUAUUUGAACAUUGCUGUUUUAUAUUUUGGUGUCUAUUUUGUACCGUUUGUGUUGCUCUGUUUAUUUAAAAAAUAAAUCGGAGAAACUCAGUACUUGUCUUUUCACUGCAUACUUUUUUACUCUUACUUGAGUAAUUAUUUUUACGAGUACUUUUACUUCUACUUGAGUAUUUAUAAUCUUAAAGUAACAGUACUUUUACUUGAGUACAUUUUUAAGCUACUCUGCCCACCACUGGGUGUAUGCGAUGAUAGGCACAACAUGAACAUGUUGUACUUUUAUCCCCAAUAACACAGCUCCGAAUGGGUUGGUGACCAGGGCGCUGGCAUGAUUACAAUCCCUCAGGUUCGAUUUGGCAGAGAACUCCGGCAUUAAUGAUCCUUUCACAGGAUGGAUGGAGAAUAUGUUUGGGAGGUGGAAAGGCAUGAUCCAGUAAGUGCCCGUCGCUGGAAUAAUGGCAGAGACCGUGUUAAUUGUCACCGGCUGCCGUUGUAUUCCCUGCGCACGAGGGCUACUGCAUCUGCUGAUCACCACAGCUAUGAGCGCUACAGAAGCGCCAAGUGCCAUUCAGGCUUACAUGGGGAACAGAUAUGAUCCGAUGAAAGUGAACGAUACAUCACCUGAGGGGCCCGACCCUAUCCAGCUGUAAUAUGUAGAAUAGUCAACACCUAUACUAUUCUAGUAGAAGCGCCUGUAUAUAAGAUAAUCAAUAUCCUGGAUUUACUUGAAUAACUAAUUAUUGAACCACCAAGACGGGUUGUGUUUGUUAUUAUAUAGUAUUGUUUGGUUGCGAGUGCAACCCGUUAUUUCUGUAUCGCUGCAUUGAUAAUGGUACUGUUGAUCUUCUUUGAGACGGUUGUUUACAGGCUUCCUGUUGCUGACACGAUGACGAUUGAACGCCUGAAGGAGGCUCCCAUGAUGUGAAAGUAAACUCUCUGUGAGCUGAGCCCUUGACAAGGAGGGACGAGUCUUGGGUUCAUGAAUUACAGGCCCCGACGGCGACAGAAGAAACAAUGGCUGCGAUUACAACAAUGUCCAAAACCACCCACAUGCAACAGCGCACCAAUACACGAAGAUCACCUGAACCACCCAAAUCCAUGCUAGCCUAUCAAUAUCUUGAUUUUUUUUACAUUUUUAUUAUGAC